CUAUCAAACCACAGAGUAAACGUGUUCUAUUGUUUGUUCUUGUUUUGUGUUUUACUCGUUUGUGAUGAUUUCGAUUUCUUCUAGCCCUAGUUCUUGUUUGUUCCGAUUUCUUGAUACUCGUUGCUCCGAUUACUUGCUUCUUGAUGGCUCGAUUUCAGGGUUUUCUAUUAAAGGAGAUUCUUAUGGAUUUGCCUAUUGAUAUACCAUUCCUUUUCAGAAUGUUGAUAUCAAGAAUUUCACAAUUCUCUUGACUCCCCUUUUACAAAUCGGUUAUCAAGAAUUAUUUAUAUAAUUUUUUGGAUAUAGUUCUUCAUAAUUUGAUUGAUAAUCGAGAUACGCGUUUAUCCGUUUUGCAGCGAUCUAAAGUCUGAGUACAAAGGAUAAGAACGGAGAACGCAUCCAGAUAGACAAAUCAAGUUUCUUCAAUAAGUCGUUCUUUUAUUUUUAGACGUUUUGCAAGACAUGGUCAUCAAUCAUCACCCCUGGUUGAAUUUACUGAAUUUAAUUUCUUCACUGAAUUGUAUUAUUUUCCUAUUAUGACUUUGAAUGUUUUGAUCUCCAUACAUGUGAAUUGAAACAUGAAUCUUUUUUUCUGCUGUUUAGGGUGUUUUGAAGUAAAAUAACGGUUUACUUUUGUACACUCUUCUUGGAUUGUGAAUUAUUUUCCUAUUAUGACUUUGAAUGUUUUGAUCUCCAUACAUGUGAAUUGAAACAUGAAUCUUUUUUCUGCUGUUUAGGGUGUUUUGAAGUAAAAUAACGGUUUACUUUUGUACACUCUUCUUGGAUUGUGAAUUAUUUUCAUUUCAUCUCUGAGUUUUUAUUGCUAAUGUUCUUGAUUUACUCCUCUAUGAUUUCCACUUGUGAAACUUUCGGCUUGGUGUUGGUGGUUUUGGAGAGAAUGGGACAGUGUGGUGAGCCUAUCUAAUUGGCGACUUGGUUUGGAGAAUUAUGCUAUUUGUCACCAACUAUUUGUCACAGUGGAACCAUUCUGAUUAUCUGUUCGCUGGGAAAACUUUGUUGGGAGAGGUUUCUGUUAUCAUCUUUUACUCAUUAGUUGUUUUUGUGGUUAUUUGUUGGGAGAGGUUUCUGUUAUCAUCUUUUACUCAUUAGUUGUUUUUGUGGUUAUUUGUGAUAUACAAUGAUACUCCUAAUAAGAUAUCCUCUGUUACAGUGGCCCUAGGAUUCAUCUGUGGUAAGAAUAAGCCAAAAUUGUGUCAUUUCAUAUGGAGUACAUGAUCUUGCAAUGGAAAUUUGUUCCAAUGAUUCAUAAGCUCUUGCAGGCUGUGUCGAAUACUUUUAGCUGUUGCUAGGUUUUAAUUCGGCCAUCUUUACUCAGAAUCUUCACAUUUCAUUAUUUGUUUGAUACUCGGCAUGCACUUUUGUCAGUUCAUUUGAGUUUUCUGUGUGGAAGUUACAGGGGAGAUAGCCUAUGAUUGUGUAGUUUGCUGUGGAACUCGUGGCAGGAAGAGGUUCAUUUCUCACACACUCUUAGGAUAAAAACGGUCAUUUUGUACUUACAUAUCUAAUAUAUUAUUGUUUUGGGAUAUUUGUACUUUGAUGGAGUGCCUUGCUGGUUUUGGAUUUUUUGUGUUGCUGUUUCAGCAAGAUUCUAGAGUGUUGAAGCAUACAAGAUUCUAGAGUGUACCUUUUUCCCUCACCGAGGAUGUGGAAUUAAGGAUAAGUUGGUUUGUCAUUUGUUUGUUCUGUUGAUUUGCCAUUUCCUUUGUAAUAUUUUUUUUUCUAUUUUCUUGUUAAUUGUGAUACUUAGGAGUAAGGUUAAGAAUAAUAGUAUCCUCUGUUACAGUGGCCCUAGGAUUCAUCUGUGGUAAGAAGAAGCCAAAAUUGUGUCAUUUCAUAUGGAGUACAUGAUCUUGCAAUGGAAAUUUGUUCCAAUGAUUCAUAAGCUCUUGCAGGCUGUGUCGAAUACUUUUAGCUGUUGCUAGGUUUUAAUUCGGCCAUCUUUACUAAGAAUCUUCACAUUUCAUUAUUUGUUUGAUACUCGGCAUGUACUUUUGUCAGUUCCUUUGAGUUUUCUGUGUGGAAGUUACAGGGGAGAUAGCCUAUGAUUGUGUAGUUUGCUGUGGAACUCGUGGCAGGAAGAGGUUCAUUUCUCACACACUCUUAGGAUAAAAACUGUCAUUUUGUACUUACAUAUUUAAUAUAUUAUUGUUUUGGGAUAUUUGUCCUUUGAUGGAGUGCCUUCCUGGUUUUGGAUUUUUUGUGUUGCUGUUUCAGCAAGAUUCUAGAGUGUUGAAGCAUACAAGAUUCUAGAGUUUACCUUUUUCCCUCACCGAGGAUGUGGAAUUAAGGAUAAGUUGGUUUGUCAAUUUUUUGUUCUGUUGAUUUGCCAUUUCCUUUGUAAUAUUUUUUUUCUAUUUUCUUGUUAAUUGUGAUACUUAAGAGUAAGGUUAAGAAUAAUAGUAUUAUCUGUUACAGUGGCCCUAGGAUUCAUCUGUGGUAAGAAGAAGCCAAAAUUGUGUCAUUUCAUAUGGAGUACAUGAUCUUGCAAUGGAAAUUUGUUCCAAUGAUUCAUAAGCUCUUGCAGGCUGUGUCGAAUACUUUUAGCUGUUGCUAGGUUUUAAUUCGGCCAUCUUUACUAAGAAUCUUCACAUUUCAUUAUUUGUUUGAUACUCGGCAUGUACUUUUGUCAGUUCCUUUGAGUUUUCUGUGUGGAAGUUACAGGGGAGAUAGCCUAUGAUUGUGUAGUUUGCUGUGGAACUCGUGGCAGGAAGAGGUUCAUUUCUCACACACUCUUAGGAUAAAAACGGUCAUUUUGUACUUACAUAUCUAAUAUAUUAUUGUUUUGGGAUAUUUGUCCUUUGAUGGAGUGCCUUGCUGGUUUUGGAUUUUUUGUGUUGCUGUUUCAGCAAGAUUCUAGAGUGUUGAAGCAUACAAGAUUCUAGAGUGUACCUUUUUCCCUCACCGAGGAUGUGGAAUUAAGGAUAAGUUGGUUUGUCAUUUUUUUGUUCUGUUGAUUUGCCAUUUCCUUUGUAAUAUUUUUUUGUUAAUUGUGAUACUUAGGAGAUAGGUUAAGAAUAAUAGUAUCCUCUGUUACAGUGGCCCUAGGAUUCAUCUGUGGUAAGAAGAAGCCAAAAUUGUGUCAUUUCAUAUGGAGUACAUGACCUUGCAAUGGAAAUUUGGUCCAAUGAUUCAUAAGCUCUUGCAGGCUGUGUCGAAUACUUUUAGCUGUUGCUAGGUUUUAAUUCGGCCAUCUUUACUAAGAAUCUUCACAUUUCAUUAUUUGUUUGAUACUCGGCAUGUACUUUUGUCAGUUCCUUUGAGUUUUCUGUGUGGAAGUUACAGGGGAGAUAGCCUAUGAUUGUGUAGUUUGCUGUGGAACUCGUGGCAGGAAGAGGUUCAUUUCUCACACACUCUUAGGAUAAAAACGGUCAUUUUGUACUUACAUAUCUAAUAUAUUAUUGUUUUGGGAUAUUUGCCCUUUGAUGGAGUGCCCUGCUGGUUUUGGAUUUUUUGUGUUGCUGUUUCAGCAAGAUUCUAGAGUGUUGAAGCAUACAAGAUUCUAGAGUGUACCUUUUUCCCUCACCGAGGAUGUGGAAUUAAGGAUAAGUUGGUUUGUCAUUUUUUUGUUCUGUUGAUUUGCCAUUUCCUUUGUAAUAUUUUUUUGUUAAUUGUGAUACUUAGGAGAUAGGUUAAGAAUAAUAGUAUCCUCUGUUACAGUGGCCCUAGGAUUCAUCUGUGGUAAGAAGAAGCCAAAAUUGUGUCAUUUCAUAUGGAGUACAUGACCUUGCAAUGGAAAUUUGGUCCAAUGAUUCAUAAGCUCUUGCAGGCUGUGUCGAAUACUUUUAGCUGUUGCUAGGUUUUAAUUCGGCCAUCUUUACUAAGAAUCUUCACAUUUCAUUAUUUGUUUGAUACUCGGCAUGUACUUUUGUCAGUUCCUUUGAGUUUUCUGUGUGGAAGUUACAGGGGAGAUAGCCUAUGAUUGUGUAGUUUGCUGCGGAACUCGUGGCCGGAAGAGCAAGAUUGUAGAGUGUUGAAGCAUACAAGAUUCUAGAGUGUACCUUUUUCCCUCACCGAGGAUGUGGAAUUAAGGAUAAGUUGGUUUGUCAUUUUUUUGUUCUGUUGUUUUUCCAUUUCCUUAGUAAUAUUUUUUUGGCUUAUUUGCAGUUUUGGUCCCCCUAUUUUAACUGAAUCGCGAAAGUAGUCCUCUCAUUUUGUUUCUCCUCAGUUUUGGUCCCCAAGCAGAAUUUUGGUACAAAACUUGAUAAAAUUUCAUUUUUUUUGCAUUUAUUUAAGUCACACAAUGCCUCAAGAUCUCAUUGCAACAAUUGUACCUGACAUAUAUGACCAUAAAUUGUGUACUACGGCUUUAAAAAAUAAAAUUUCAUCAAGUUUUUGACUAAAAUUAUGUUUGAGGGACCAAAACUGAGGAGAAAUAAAAUGGAGGGACUACUUUUACAAUUCAGCUAAAAUAGGGGAUCAAAACUGCAAUUAAGCCUAUUUUUUUUCUAUUUUCUUGUUAAUUGUGAUACUUAGGAGUAAGGUUAAGAAUAAUAGUAUCCUCUGUUACAGUGGCCCUAGGAUUCAUCUGUGGUAAGAAGAAGCCAAAAUUGUGUCAUUUCAUAUGGAGUACAUGAUCUUGCAAUGGAAAUUUGUUCCAAUGAAUCAUAAGCUCUUGCAGGCUGUGUCGAAUACUUUUAGCUGUUGCUAGGUUUUAAUUCGGCCAUCUUUACUAAGAAUCUUAACAUUUCAUUAUUUGUUUGAUACUCGGCAUGCACUUUUGUCAGUUCCUUUGAGUUUUCUGUGUGGAAGUUACAGGGGAGCUAGCCUAUGAUUGUGUAGUUUGCUGUGGAACUCGUGGCAGGAAGAGGUUCAUUUCUCACACACUCUUAGGAUAAAAACGGUCAUUUUGUACUUACAUAUCUAAUAUAUUAUUGUUUUGGGAUAUUUGUCCUUUGAUGGAGUGCCUUGCUGGUUUUGGAUUUUUUGUGUUGCUGUUUCAGCAAGAUUGUAGAGUGUUGAAGCAUACAAGAUUCUAGAGUGUACCUUUUUCCCUCACCGAGGAUGUGGAAUUAAGGAUAAGUUGGUUUGUCAUUUUAUUGUUCUGUUGUUUUUCCAUUUCCUUUGUAAUAUUUUUUUUUCUAUUUUCUUGUUAAUUGUGAUACUUAGGAGUAAGGUUAAGAAUAAUAGUAUCCUCUGUUACAGUGGCCCUAGGAUUCAUCUGUGGUAAGAAGAAGCCAAAAUUGUGUCAUUUCAUAUGGAGUACAUGAUCUUGCAAUGGAAAUUUGUUCCAAUGAUUCAUAAGCUCUUGCAGGCUGUGUCGAAUACUUUUAGCUGUUGCUAGGUUUUAAUUCGGCCAUCUUUACUAAGAAUCUUCACAUUUCAUUAUUUGUUUGAUACUCGGCAUGCACUUUUGUCAGUUCCUUUGAGUUUUCUGUGUGGAAGUUACAGGGGAGCUAGCCUAUGAUUGUGUAGUUUGGUGUGGAACUCGAGGCAGGAAGAGGUUCAUUUCUCACACACUCUUAGGAUAAAAACGGUCAUUUUGUACUUACAUAUCUAAUAUAUUAUUGUUUUGGGAUAUUUGUCCUUUGAUGGAGUGCCUUGCUGGUUUUGGAUUUUUUGUGUUGCUGUUUCAGCAAGAUUCUAGAGUGUUGAAGCAUACAAGAUUCUAGAAUGUACCUUUUUCCCUCACCGAGGAUGUGGAAUUAAGGAUAAGUUGGUUUGUCAUUUUUUUGUUCUGUUGAUUUGCCAUUUCCUUUGUAAUAUUUUUUUUCUAUUUUCUUGUUAAUUGUGAUACUUAGGAGUAACGUUAAGAAUAAUAGUAUCCUCUGUUACAGUGGCCCUAGGUUCAUCUGUGGUAAGAAGAAGCCAAAAUUGUGUCAUUUCAUAUGGAGUGCAUGAUCUUGCAAUGGAAAUUUGUUCCAAUGAUUCAUAAGCU